CGGAAAUUAGUUUAUAGAAAAUAAUUCAUUUACAUUGAGUUGAAUUAGUGGUGCAAUACUUUAAUUUCUGA
rnacentral:tRNA from 1 species